rnacentral:rRNA from 1 species
GAUGAACGCUAGCUACAGGCUUAACACAUGCAAGUCGAGGGGAAACGGCAUUUAGUGCUUGCACCGAAUGGACGUCGACCGGCACACGGGUGAGUAACGCGUAUCCAACCUUCCCAUAACUAAGGAAUAACCUGCCGAAAGGCAGACUAAUACCUUAUGUAAUCCUUUGAUGGCAUCAGAUUAGGAUAAAAGAUUUAUCGGUUAUGGAUGGGGAUGCGUCUGAUUAGCUUGUUGGCGGGGUAACGGCCCACCAAGGCAACGAUCAGUAGGGGUUCUGAGAGGAAGGUCCCCCACAUUGGAACUGAGACACGGUCCAAACUCCUACGGGAGGCAGCAGUGAGGAAUAUUGGUCAAUGGACGGAAGUCUGAACCAGCCAAGUAGCGUGCAGGAAGACGGCCCUAUGGGUUGUAAACUGCUUUUGUAUGGGGAUAAAGUCAAUCACGUGUGAUUGUUUGCAGGUACCAUACGAAUAAGGACCGGCUAAUUCCGUGCCAGCAGCCGCGGUAAUACGGAAGGUUCGGGCGUUAUCCGGAUUUAUUGGGUUUAAAGGGAGCGUAGGCCGGAGAUUAAGUGUGUUGUGAAAUGUAGACGCUCAACGUCUGACUUGCAGCGCAUACUGGUUUCCUUGAGUACGCACAACGUUGGCGGAAUUCGUCGUGUAGCGGUGAAAUGCUUAGAUAUGACGAAGAACUCCGAUUGCGAAGGCAGCUGACGGGAGCGCAACUGACGCUGAGGCUCGAAGGUGCGGGUAUCGAACAGG